AUAACUCAAGAACGCUUAGGAUAGGAUCAUGAAACUCGAUAGGUAGAUUGAUCAUGACUCGCAGAUGACCCCUUUUGAUUUUCAGGUCACUAGGUCAAAGGUCAAGGUCACAGUGACCCGAAAUAGUAAAAUGGUUUCCGGAUGAUAACUGAAGAACGCUUAGGCCUAGGAUCAUGAAACUUGAUAGGUAGAAUGAUCAUGACUCGCAGAUGACCCCUAUUGAUUUUCAGGUCACUAGGUCAAAGGUCAAGGUCACGGUGAC